rnacentral:rRNA from 1 species
GACGAACGCUGGCGGCGUGCCUAAUACAUGCAAGUAGAACGCUGAAGGAGGAGCUUGCUUCUCCGGAUGAGUUGCGAACGGGUGAGUAACGCGUAGGUAACCUGCCUGGUAGCGGGGGAUAACUAUUGGAAACGAUAGCUAAUACCGCAUAAGAGUAGAUGUUGCAUGACAUUUGCUUAAAAGGUGCAAUUGCAUCACUACCAGAUGGACCUGCGUUGUAUUAGCUAGUUGGUGGGGUAACGGCUCACCAAGGCGACGAUACAUAGCCGACCUGAGAGGGUGAUCGGCCACACUGGGACUGAGACACGGCCCAGACUCCUACGGGAGGCAGCAGUAGGGAAUCAUCGGCAAUGGACGGAAGUCUGACCGAGCAACGCCGCGUGAGUGAAGAAGGUUUUCGGAUCGUAAAGCUCUGUUGUAAGAGAAGAACGAGUGUGAGAGUGGAAAGUUCACACUGUGACGGUAUCUUACCAGAAAGGGAGGGCUAACUACGUGCCAGCCGCCGCAGUAA